rnacentral:rRNA from 1 species
UACAGAGGUCUCAAGCGUUGUUCGGAUUCAUUGGGCGUAAAGGGUGCGUAGGCGGUGCGGUAAGUCACCUGUGAAACCUCUGGGCUUAACUCAGAGCCUGCAGGCGAAACUGCCGUGCUGGAGUGUGGGAGAGGUGCGUGGAAUUCCCGGUGUAGCGGUGAAAUGCGCAGAUAUCAGGAGGAACACCGGUGGCGAAGGCGGAUCUCUGGGCCAUUACUGACGCUGAGGAGCGAAAGCGUGGGGAGCGAACAGG